UACGUAGGUGGCAAGCGUUGUCCGGAUUUACUGGGCGUAAAGGGCGUGCAGGCGGUCUGUUAAGUGCAGGGUGAAAGCUCCCGGCUCAACUGGGAGAGGUCCUUGCAUACUGGCGGACUUGAGGGGGGUAGAGGAAAGUGGAAUUCCCGGUGUAGUGGUGAUAUGCGUAGAUAUCGGGAGGAACACCUGUGGCGAAGGCGGCUUUCUGGGCCCGACCUGACGCUGAGACGCGAAAGCGUGGGGAGCGAACCGG
rnacentral:rRNA from 1 species